rnacentral:misc_RNA from 1 species
AAGGCUGUGGUGAAAAACAAAAUUUGGGGAAAAAAUCCUCGUCAUAACAAAGAAAUUCCAACUGAAAUGGCCUUUCUGAUCCGAAGCCCUGUUCCUCAUUCACUGCGCUCCUCUAUUUCUUCACUACACCACUUUUCCUCGCCAUUCUCUUGUUUACUUCUCGCCCAUUCCUCUUUCACCUUUAAUCUCCUCAAGAUUUUCUAAAACAGCAGAUACUUGCUUCAAGAAAUGCAUGAUUUAAAGGAGAUUUGGCUGCUAUUUCUGACACAUGAAGUGAUGACAGGCUCCC